GAUGAACGCUGGCUGCGUGCCUAAUACAUGCAAGUCGAGCGAACGGACGAGAAGCUUGCUUCUCUGAUGUUAGCGGCGGACGGGUGAGUAACACGUGGAUAACCUACCUAUAAGACUGGGAUAACUUCGGGAAACCGGAGCUAAUACCGGAUAAUAUUUUGAACCGCAUGGUUCAAAAGUGAAAGACGGUCUUGCUGUCACUUAUAGAUGGAUCCGCGCUGCAUUAGCUAGUUGGUAAGGUAACGGCUUACCAAGGCAACGAUGCAUAGCCGACCUGAGAGGGUGAUCGGCCACACUGGAACUGAGACACGGUCCAGACUCCUACGGGAGGCAGCAGUAGGGAAUCUUCCGCAAUGGGCGAAAGCCUGACGGAGCAACGCCGCGUGAGUGAUGAAGGUCUUCGGAUCGUAAAACUCUGUUAUUAGGGAAGAACAUAUGUGUAAGUAACUGUGCACAUCUUGACGGUACCUAAUCAGAAAGCCACGGCUAACUACGUGCCAGCAGCCGCGGUAAUACGUAGGUGGCAAGCGUUAUCCGGAAUUAUUAGGCGUAAAGCGCGCGUAGGCGGUUUUUUAAGUCUGAUGUGAAAGCCCACGGCUCAACCGUGGAGGGUCAUUGGAAACUGGAAAACUUGAGUGCAGAAGAGGAAAGUGGAAUUCCAUGUGUAGCGGUGAAAUGCGCAGAGAUAUGGAGGAACACCAGUGGCGAAGGCGACUUUCUGGUCUGUAACUGACGCUGAUGUGCGAAAGCGUGGGGAUCAAACAGGAUUAGAUACCCUGGUAGUCCACGCCGUAAACGAUGAGUGCUAAGUGUUAGGGGGUUUCCGCCCCUUAGUGCUGCAGCUAACGCAUUAAGCACUCCGCCUGGGGAGUACGACCGCAAGGUUGAAACUCAAAGGAAUUGACGGGGACCCGCACAAGCGGUGGAGCAUGUGGUUUAAUUCGAAGCAACGCGAAGAACCUUACCAAAUCUUGACAUCCUUUGACAACUCUAGAGAUAGAGCUUUCCCCUUCGGGGGACAAAGUGACAGGUGGUGCAUGGUUGUCGUCAGCUCGUGUCGUGAGAUGUUGGGUUAAGUCCCGCAACGAGCGCAACCCUUAAGCUUAGUUGCCAUCAUUAAGUUGGGCACUCUAAGUUGACUGCCGGUGACAAACCGGAGGAAGGUGGGGAUGACGUCAAAUCAUCAUGCCCCUUAUGAUUUGGGCUACACACGUGCUACAAUGGACAAUACAAAGGGCAGCGAAACCGCGAGGUCAAGCAAAUCCCAUAAAGUUGUUCUCAGUUCGGAUUGUAGUCUGCAACUCGACUACAUGAAGCUGGAAUCGCUAGUAAUCGUAGAUCAGCAUGCUACGGUGAAUACGUUCCCGGGUCU
rnacentral:rRNA from 1 species